rnacentral:rRNA from 1 species
GAUGAACGCUAGCGGCAGGCCUAACACAUGCAAGUCGAGGGAGAAGCCCUUUCGGGGGCAGAAACCGGCGCACGGGUGCGUAACGCGUAUGCAACCUACCUUUCACAGGGGGAUAGCUCGAAGAAAUUUGGAUUAAUACCCCAUAAUAUUAUUGAAUGGCAUCAUUUGAUAAUUAAAACUGAGGUGGUGAAAGAUGGGCAUGCGUCCUAUUAGCUAGUUGGAGUGGUAACGGCACCCCAAGGCUACGAUAGGUAGGGGUCCUGAGAGGGAGAUCCCCCACACUGGUACUGAGACAGGGACCAGACUCCUACGGGAGGCAGCAGUGAGGAAUAUUGGUCAAUGGUCGGAAGACUGAACCAGCCAUGCCGCGUGCAGGAAGAAUGCCCUUAUGGGUUGUAAAACUGCUUUUAUAUGGGAAGAAUAAAGGCG